rnacentral:rRNA from 1 species
GACGAACGCUGGCGGCGUGCCUAAUACAUGCAAGUCGAACGCACAGUUUAUACCGUAGCUUGCUACACCAUAGACUGUGAGUUGCGAACGGGUGAGUAACGCGUGGGUAACCUGCCUGGUAGCGGGGGAUAACUAUUGGAAACGAUAGCUAAUACCGCAUAAUAUUAAUUAUUGCAUGAUAAUUAAUUGAAAGGUGCAAUUGCACCACUACCAGAUGGACCUGCGUUGUAUUAGCUAGUAGGUGAGGUAACGGCUCACCUAGGCGACGAUACAUAGCCGACCUGAGAGGGUGAGCGGCCACACUGGGACUGGGACACGGCCCAGACUCCUACGGGAGGCAGCAGUAGGGAAUCUUCGGCAAUGGACGAAAGUCUGACCGAGCAACGCCGCGGGAGUGAAGAAGGUUGUCGGAUCGGAAAGCUCGGUUGUAAGGGAAGAACGGGUGUGAGAGUGGAAAGUUCACACUGUGACGGUAUCUUACCAGAAAGGGACGGCUAACUACGUG